UCCUAUGGCCAUACCACCCUGAGAAUGCCCAAUCCUGUCUGAUCUCUGAAGCUAAGCAGAGUUGAUCCUGGUUAGUACUCGGAUGAGAGACCACCCGGGAAUACUGGGUGCUCUAGGGU
ensembl:rRNA 5S_rRNA 5S ribosomal RNA